CCUACGGGCGGCAGCAGUGAGGAAUAUUGGUCAAUGGACGAGAGUCUGAACCAGCCAAGUAGCGUGAAGGAUGACUGCCCUAUGGGUUGUAAACUUCUUUUAUAUGGGAAUAAAAUGUUCCACGUGUGGGAUUUUGUAUGUACCAUAUGAAUAAGGAUCGGCUAACCCCGUGCCAGCAGCCGCGGUAAUACGGAGGAUACGAGCGUUAUCCGGAUUUUUUGGGUUUAAAGGGAGCGUAGGUGGGUUGUUAAGUCAGUUGUGAAAGUUUGCGGCUCAAACGUAAAAUUGCAGUUGAAACUGGCAGUCUUGAGUACAGUAGAGGUGGGCGGAAUUCGUGGUGUAGCGGUGAAAUGCAUAGAUAUCACGAAGAACUCCGAUUGCGAAGGCAGCUCACUGGACUGCAACUGACACUGAGGCUCGAAAGUGUGGGGAUCGAACAGGAUUAGAUACCCGAGUAGUC
rnacentral:rRNA from 1 species